rnacentral:rRNA from 1 species
UGCGUAGGCGGUUUGGUAAGUCUUGUGUGAAAUCUCCAGGCUCAACUUGGAGUCUGCACGAGAAACUGCCGGGCUUGAGUGUGGGAGAGGUGAGUGGAAUUCCUGGUGUAGCGGUGAAAUGCGUAGAUAUCAGGAGGAACACCUGUGGCGAAAGCGGCUCACUGGACCACAACUGACGCUGAUGCACGAAAGCUAGGGGAGCAAACAGGAUUAGAUACCCUGGUAGUCCUAGCCCUAAACGAUGACUGCUUGGUGUGACGGGUACCCAAUCCCGCCGUGCCGUAGCUAACGCGUUAAGCAGUCCGCCUGGGAGUACGGUCGCAAGGCUGAA